ACGGAGAGUUUGAUCCUGGCUCAGGACGAACGCUGGCGGCGUGCUUAACACAUGCAAGUCGAACGGUAAGGCCCUUCGGGGUACACGAGUGGCGAACGGGUGAGUAACACGUGGGUGAUCUGCCCUGCACUUCGGGAUAAGCCCGGGAAACUGGGUCUAAUACUGGAUGCUACAUGUCACCGCAUGGUGGUGUGUGGAAAGGGUUUACUGGUCUUGGAUGGGCUCACGGCCUAUCAGCUUGUUGGUGAGGUAACGGCUCACCAAGGCUUCGACGGGUAGCCGGCCUGAGAGGGUGACCGGCCACACUGGGACUGAGACACGGCCCAGACUCCUAC
rnacentral:rRNA from 14 species